UUAGGGAGACCUACCCCAUCUAAAACCGAACGAAAUUCUAUUAGGUUUAGGUGAGGUCAUCCCAAGGUCGUUCGAGGAUUGAAUACUAAAUAGGCUUUCAAACUAUUCUGGGUUUGGGAAAAUGCGUUUACUAGCUGAUAAAGCGAUUAAAUGCGAAGCGACUAACCCACGGGCUAUUAGCUCAGGUGGUUAGAGCGCACCCCUGAUAAGGGUGAGGUCCCUGGUUCGAGUCCAGGAUGGCCCACUUAGACGGGGGUUUAGCUCAGUUGGUAGAGCGCCUGCUUUGCAAGCAGGAUGUCAGCGGUUCGAGUCCGCUAACCUCCACCACUUUAUGUGAGCGAUUUACCCACAAACUGAUUUCUAUCUGUUAGGAUAGGAACCCGGGUAAAGAGAGGUGAGCUAAAGUAGCCUCAAGCAAUCUUUCCAAAACCACAAAUUUCAGCAACUGUUAAAGACAGCCUGCUGGAAGUUGUUCCAGUCAGAACCUUGAAAACUGCAUACGUAACUAGUCAGGUAGUUGCAAUUAGGAAAAAGCUAGAUUAGCUCAGAACUAAUUGCCUAUCACAGACACCAAUGUUUGCAAAAAAGCAAAGAAAAAGUAGU
rnacentral:tRNA from 1 species